rnacentral:rRNA from 1 species
GUGAGGAAUUUUCCGCAAUGGGCGAAAGCCUGACGGAGCAAUGCCGCGUGAAGGAUGAAGGCCUAUGGGUUGUAAACUUCUUUUCUCAGAAAAGAAUUAUGACGGUAUCUGAGGAAUAAGCAUCGGCUAACUCUGUGCCAGCAGCCGCGGUAAGACAGAGGAUGCAAGCGUUAUCCGGAAUGAUUGGGCGUAAAGCGUCUGUAGGUUGUUUAAAAAGUAUUAUGUAAAAGAUUAGGGCUUAACCCUAGAUAGGCAGAAUAAACUUUUAAGCUAGAGUUUGGUAGAGGCAGAGGGAAUUCCCGGUGGAGCGGUGAAAUGCGUAGAUAUCGGGAGGAACACCAAAGGCGAAGGCACUCUGCUGGGCCAAUACUAACACUGAGAGACGAAAGCGAGGGGAGCAAAUGGGAUUAGAUACCCCUGUAGUCC